GAAGCACACUGAGCAGCCCGGAAGCUCUAGCUGCUGCUGGCUGAAGUGGCAGCUUAGCUUUCCCCCUCACCAAUGAGGAAGUGCAGUCAAUCAGGCAGCCCGAGCCAGGAUCGGCUGAGCCCAGUACUUUGCUAGGAGACUGACUUUUUGCAGCUGGCUCCCUGAGAGGAAUUGAUCAAAAAUUGAACGCUCCCUGGACUUUGAACAACUCUUGUUCUCACUUAUUGGCAUAGUUACAGCAUUCCACUGGCAAGACAACUCCCUCCAGAAAUUCCCAGAGCUUGGAACACAGCUUCCUCCCUCUCCACCUACGGGGUUACACCGUGAACAUUGCUGUUAUCUCAGUGUCUGACCUCCCACCAUUUCUGGGUGAGGGUUUUAAAAGGAACAAUGCGGUGGGGUGUUUCCUUCUGACGGAGCCUUGCAAAGGUGAGUAGUUCAUAGAAGGUUCCCUCUUUGUGACAUACGUUCUGAUUGGUUGGAUUGAAGGGUAGAGCUGGUUGGAUUUCUGUUCCUUGGAACAUGUUGAUUUUUCAUCAAAAAAACAGAACGCCAAAUCUUCCUGUUGAAAACUGGCUUUCGACCAAAAAGUUUUCAGUUUUGGACCACAAACUUUUCAAUUAGGGGGUUUCCAUUUUGUCCGAGAAAGCAAACACUUUUUGCGAAAACUUUCAUUUAGUUAAAAACCCCAAUAUUCAAUUGAAAACCAGUUUUCACAGAAAAGUUUUCUCCAGUCCCAGCUUAGGCUGUAGGGAGAGUGUAGGUUUGCUUGGGCUGUCAUGGGCUUCCCAUUAGAAUUUUUCAUUGGCUCAUGUGCUUAAAUGGCACAGCCAAUAAUCAGCAGGCUCCAUGAAAUUCAUUACAUUAAUUUCAUUAAAAUAACCCUGAAAGUCUCAAUUGCCUCCUAGUUUAGAGAGAACAUUGUGGCAAUUGAAACAGAAUGAAAUGUCAGGCCAGGAAUGUUAGAAUCCCUGAUCGUCAUCCCUGUGUGUGUGUGUGUGCUUCGAAUUCGUAGGAGUGAGUCUGGUGCCCAUGAAAUCGAGGGUCUAUUAGCACUAAUUAGAUCCAAGAACAGUGCAGGUAUCUACUGGCUAAGCUUCCUCCCCUAUAGUGAUUUGAAGACAGGCCCUGUGCUGGGUGCUGUAUCUACAAAGAAAAAGAGACUGUCUCUACCCUGAAGAGUUUGCAUUAUAAAGAGACAAGACAGAUGAAGUUGCAGGAGAAAGGGAGUAUUAGUAUCCCCAUUUUACAGACAGGGGAACUGAGGCUAAGUCUACACUUAAAACAUUGCAGCUGCAUUGCUGUAGUACUUCAGUAUAGACAUUCACUACGGUGAUGGGAGGGGUUCUCCUGUCACUGUAGUUAAUCCACCUCCCUGAGAGGUGGUAGCCAGGUCGAUGGAAGAAUUCUUCCGUCAGUAUAGUGCUGUCUACACUGGGGAUUAGGUCAGGACAGCUGUGUCACUCAGGGGGGUGGAUUUUUCACACUCCUGAGAGAUAUAGCUAAGCCAGUGUAAGUUUUCAAUGUAGACCAGCCUCGAGAAAUUAAAGAGAUUUACUCAAAUUCAGACAACAAACCUGUGAAAGAGCCAGAGAUUGACCCAAUAUGACAGUCCAGUGCAGCUAACCCCAAGAGCAUAUUUCUCUUAAUGCUCAGGACCUGAAUCAGAGGUUGAACCCAGGUAUCCAGAGAGAUACACAGAGGGAUUUGUGUGUCUGUCUCAUGGUUCUUUUUCUCAUGCUUAAGAUCAAUGAACUUAAUUUACGAUGCAGGCACUCAGCGCUCCCUUAAAGAAAUGCAAAACUAGAUUUAAACUAAACAUCAGCCAUGACUCAUGACCUGCUUGGGGGCACAUCACUUUGCUGUAUCAUUCCAGAACGCAGCAUUGGAAGUAAAUUGCACACAGAGAUGAAGGGAAACACUCCGAGUGAGUCAGUUGUUCAGACGGAGGACAUCACCAACACGAGAACCCGGAAGUGACCCUCGCAAAGGACGUCCCUACCAAAUCCCUAGUCACGGUCCAAAAAUAAAGCCUCCGGUUGAUUUUUAAUCCCAGGACUAGAGAGUGGCCAGAAGCCAGGCAUGUAUUUCUAGAACUCAGAGAUGCUGAGCUCAAUGGCAGGUUUUAGCUCUCGUCAGCAGCUUGGUCUGUGUGUGGUUUUCCCUUUGCCGUUAGCUCCAGGCACAUUGGAAGUUUUAUUCCUCCUGCAAGGCACAGUGGGAAGGGCUGACAAGAUGGGUUCAACGAUUGAGUAAUGCUGAUCAUUAAUCAAGAGCCUUCUGCGGAUUUUUUUCCCCCAUAAAUGUUCCUAGGAGGGUGUUGAGCAGCCUCAGCGUGAGUCAGCGGCAGCUGCGGGCGCGCAGUGCUCUGAAGUGGGUGCCCGGCACAUUUCAGGAUCCACCGCUUCGGGCCCCAGAUGAGUAGCUGCAUUUUCAGCCCGGAUCAGGUCAUUCAAGAUUACUGGCAGCCGUGGUGUUACAGUCCCAGCAUUGCCCUAGCAGCAGUACACCUGGGCAGCGAGGCCCCUAAUGGGAAUUCGGUGCCUAAAUACCUUUGCGGCUCUGGGCCUGAGGCGAUGUAUGUCUACACUACACGCUAGGAAGAUCAAGGAAAACAACAAGAAAAGAAAGAAGAGAUUUAAAGUCUUGGUGAGAGAGAGAGAGAGAACACAAUCUGGGCCAUCCCGGUCCCUGGCUCCAUCCCACCCUACAGUGUUCAGGCCUGGAAUGGAUGAAAAUAUUGCAGUCGAGUAGUUAAAAUGACCCAUCAUCUCACGCUUGGGACAGCUCCUUCUCCCGCCCCCAGAACUACAAAGCGCGUCUUUCCCUGUAGAAAGAAAACUGGAUCGGCAACAAAGAAUGCAGACGUGAAAACGACUCCUGCAUAGGGGAAGAAGCUCGGAAGAGGAUUUAUUAUGCAACACGCUGAAGAUACAAAGCAGCCAUGAAUACAUAUUUAUAAUGCAAUGAAAAUCUAACAAUGGACUAUGCAAUGCCUUGGUAAGUAUAGACACCUGAUUUGAAGAUUAUAAAAGGAAUCAGGGAGAACGAAGGACAGAAGUGGUUAAAACAAUGUGCAUCAGCAAAGAACAACGGAAGCAGUGAAAUGUGGACAUCAAGGCAUCUCCUAUUUGUUAGAAAUAUGCAGACUGUGCUCCAAAUACAACUCUUUGAAAUGGGACUAGAUCAAAGUGCAUUAACGAAGUGUUAAUGCACAACAACAGGACCCAUGUGGACAAUUAGUCUGCGGCAGGCUAGUGCGGGGUAGAUUCACAACCCAACUUGCCGUGAACUAAAUGUUUGACUAGACAAGUCCAGAGUGUAAAACACUAUUUGGGUGAAAUUCAAUUUCCAUGGAGAAAGCUUUUGUGUCACUAAGUCCCAUUCCAUGCCUGGAUGGGCUUACAAUUUAGGGCACUGGUUUCUGAUCUGGGUUCAGUUUCCGGUUCUGCCACAGAUUCCUUCUGUGACCUUGCACAGGUCACUCGGGGCUUGAUCCUGUGACGUUAAAGUCAAUGACAGUUUUGUGACUGAGUUCAAUGGGAACAGGAUCAGAUGCUUUUUCUCUCUAUGCAUCGUUUGCCCAGCUGGGAAUAAUGGGGACCCUUUUGUCUGUGUUGUCCAUUUAGAUUGUGAAUUCUUUGAAGCGGAGUCUGUUUCUUCGUAUGUGUUUGUGUAUUGCCUAGCGCACCGGGGACCCCAAUAUCGGAUCAGGCUUCUAAUUGCUACUGCCAUACAAAUAAUAAUAACAAUAUUACUUGUGCUGAUCCUCUACACCACCGCAAAUUUCACUUGUAUUCAACAAAGACAACAUUGAAUAGAAUGAAUGAUAAAAUAUCCCACUCUUUCCUUUCCUCCUUUCUCAGUAUAUAUCUAAACAGUCAAACACGACUGAGGUCAGAUGCUCAAGUCUUCCAUUUCUUUACCAUUUAUUAAAUGGUUAGUCAAAUGUUGGUGUUUAUUACCAGAUACUGCUGUGCAAGGAGACAAGCCUUUGUAAGAUGACAUUUCCAAAGUAAAAGAGAUUCUUUUCCGAUUCCAACAAGCUUUGGAUAGGGCCCAGGCUGAUUUCAGCGGCCGUCAUAUGACGAUUCUCCUUCACAUAUGAGCAACAUGCCUCCGGUGACCAGGAUUCAGCACCGAAUUUGGUCCGCUGGUUGGAUCAUUAGCUUCCCCGGCCCAAGCCGUAUACUGAUGGGGAGCAUGACGUGAACGCUGAUCCGUGCAUCCAUAUGAUGACUAGUCAAAUGGAUUUGUUUUUAUUCCAACCCUUAAUCCAAGUUUGCAAAAGCCGGGUACUGAUGGGGAGUGUGACAUGAAAGCUGAUCCAUGCCUCACGUAUGAUGACUAGUCAAAUGGAUUUGUUUUUAUUCCAACCAUUAAUCUCAGUUUGCAAGUGUGAUUUAUUUUAUACCAAGAACUAUUAAACUCUGUGUCAAUGC